GACGAACGCUGGCGGCGUGCUUAACACAUGCAAGUCGAACGAAGUGGCGAACGGGUGAGUAACGCGUAAUCAACCUGCCCUUCAGAGGGGGACAACAGUUGGAAACGACUGCUAAUACCGCAUACUGUAGGAGGGGAUUGCGUCUGAUUUGCUAGUUGGAGGGGUAACGGCCCACCAAGGCGAAGUUCAGUAGCCGGACUGGGGAGGUGCACGGCAAAAUUGGGACUGGAACAAGGCCCAAGCUCCUACGGGAGGCAACAGUGGGGAAUCUUCCGGAAUGGACGGAAGUCUGACGGGGCAACUCCGCGGGAGUGAUGACGGCCUUCGGGUUGGAAAGCUCUGUUGAUCAGGACGCGGUACCGGAAUAGAAAGCCACGGCUAACUACGUGCCAGCAGCCGCGGUAAUUC
rnacentral:rRNA from 1 species